rnacentral:lncRNA from 1 species
UGUGAUGUUUGGCCAUAACUAUAACGUACUAAUGCUUUAACACUUAAUAUAACUCUUAUAAAGUUUUACUUUUGUUUGUAUCGGACAGUGAAGGUCUCAUAUCAAUAAUCCGAGUUUGUAGGACAUGAUUUACACCCUCUAAAUUAUUUAUACAUAAAAUGUCAUGUUAUUUGGUGGUCCUUAGCUUAUGCAUCAAGUGGUCAAAAAUAUAUAUUUUUUUAUCUUUUUUAAAAUAUCUAAUUUUUGAUCACUUGA